rnacentral:lncRNA from 1 species
CAUCAAGCACAAUGGCAACAUUUCGUUUGAUGACGUGAUCGAGAUCGCUAGGAUCAUGAGGCCUAGGUCGAUUGCGAAGGAGCUGAGCGGGACUGUGAGGGAGAUUCUGGGGACGUGUGUGUCUGUUGGGUGCACUGUUGAUGGGAAGGACCCCAAGGAUCUUCAGCAGGAGAUUCAGGAGGGUGAGAUUGAGAUCCCUGAGAACUAAUGAAUCAAAAGAAAAGAAAUUAUCUUUUUAGUUUUGAGUUGUUGUUGCGUUUUGUUAUCUUUGUUUAAGAAUAUUUUGUGGUUUUGAUUAUGAGAAUUUGAAAUUGCGUUUGAUGUUCUAUGCUAUUGGUAUCUACAAAGUUUUGAGCUUUGAUCUGUUUUGGUUUUGGUUUGGUUCUUCAUCAUUAUUUUUUUGCUUAUGGAUGGUAGAAAGAUGGGGCAUUUUCAGGCUUUUUGAUUUGAUUUCUAGACUGGUUCUUGUUCACCGCAUAGGUAUUAGUGCUAAGCUUUCAACACUGGUUCUUGUUCAUCUUAACUCUUCGCUCUUCAUGUUGAUUAUCAUUAGGGUUUAUGUUAGUUUGCUUCCGAUACUAUGUCAAUGCUAAGUGAAGGUUUUGCAUGAAUUGUGAGUGGAGAUAACAUGGUCAUUUGACUUCAUGGAAAGAGUUUCUGGCUGAAUUAUUCCAAAUACGGUUCUUUGUCAGCAAAAGAAAACAUUCUUGUGAGUUCUUGUCUGUUUGUUAGAGAUUGCUUUCUCUGUUAUGUGAUGUUUAUAAAGUCUUGAUCUCCUCCAUAUUGUUCUUGUUUGAUUUUUUUGUAUAUUUUCAACUGGCGCAUGUGUAGAUUAAUCAUGCUCUUGCAAGUCAGAUUUAAUCAUCUAAACUUUUCAACUCCGAGAACAUGAUUAGGGGUUUAGGUCUUCCUAACUUUUGAAUCAAAAAAUAAGAUUGGAAGAUGUUCAUAAUCUAAGCUAAGAAUAAAUGAUUUUUAAGAUCAAGGAAGAUUUAAAUGUGAAAAAGUUGUGUUCUCAAUAUUACUAGAGAGAGCUUCAAGCUGGUGAAGUGGUUUGUUUCUUCAAGCAAUAUUUUGUGACAACCUACCUUACUCACUCUCAUACUUGUGGCCUUGAAGUAGAACACCAUCACUCGAUGUUGCACCCAAAAAAAAAUCACUUAGUAGAUGUUAACUGGUCUUCAAUAAAAUCUACUCUUCAGAUCACCUCUUACCCUCCCCGCAAAAUCAUAUGCCAUAUCAAUGGCUUGUGUCAACCCAAAUGAACUUUGGAGUGAAUAACAAACCUCUGUGAGGCUUCUAACAACUGAUCGUUGCCACGUUGCUCCUCCUCUGUUUGUACAGAAUCAGCUUCCCAGUGUUCUUGCUUGUGGUCGAUAUGCGAAACUCAAGUUACUAACAACCUUACGUCAAAUGACACUUCUAUUCUAGCUUUUCCUUCAAUCCUUCUAAAAGUGUUUGAUAUAUCCUCAGCAUACUUUGGUACUGUAUGAAGAGUUCGGGUCUUGUGGUUAGUUGAAUAAACAGAACUUUAAAACCAGUAGAAACACACAACAUAGCAACUUCAUUGAAAACCACGUACACAGUUCAUAAUGGCGACUGCUUAUUUUAGAUGAAACCAUAGAAGCGCCCGGUCGCUGGAGCUAACUUCUGUGGCUUUGCUCUUACAUAUGAGCAAAUAUUGUAGCAAACAUAGAAAAAACAAUACAACAUAAUUUAUCAAACAACAUAGUUUUAAUUUUUUUAAGCUUCUUUUAGCUGAAGCUCUUAGUCUUCCCACCACUGAUGAACAAAGACGCCACUGCUUCUGAGGCUCUUUAUAACACUGUUGCAGUCUCCGUACCCAUUGCAGUGAAGAAACAGCUCAUCAACUGAACAUAUCGCACCUGUCUUUAUCAGCUCUGAGAGAAACUUCAGCUCGGCUUCGCUUGUGUUCAUCUUCAGAACCAAGAAAUCAGCAAAGCUUGCUGUUUCCUUGAACCAUGCUAGAAAAUCAAAGCUGUCAUCUUCUACAAAAGGUUCUUCUUCUUCCUCUCCACGACUAGCCACUGUUCCCGCGAGUCCCGGAUGGUAGAUGAAGGUUACACCAGGACUUUUGACAUAAGAAGUCAAUAUAGAUGUGUUGUGAUGCACAAAGUAGCUGUUAAAAGCUUUCUUGUCGAUAGGGUAUGACGGGAAGAACCAAUCCGACCUCGGUGUGAGAUGAUCCGCUGCUCCAAUAUCAAUAUAAACCAGCCUCUUCCUAGAAGAGACGUCAAUAAACUCAGGCAAGUAAUGGAUCCUUCUCUCAAAAUCAGAACGUUUCUCCUCGAGAAGAGGCUCUAAUAACCCAAUGUAGGGUCUGCUAUUAAGCACAGACGAGCAAUCACCCGGAAGGUGAUGAUGAUGAGACUGAUCCAAACCGAAACUAUCUUCACCAUGUCUCCUGAACACAAUCAAAACCUGCUCACCUAAGGAAGCAACAUGAACAACACUCGAGUUCUUGAGCAGAGAAGAAACAGGCGAGACGGAUCUAACCAACCCGUUAGAGUCAGACCCAACAAGCAUAGCUCCGGUUCCACCGGGCUUAAGCACACGCUCGAUUUCGUAAACAAGUGAAGCAGGGACAGAAACCGUCUCAAGAUCCAUAGAAAAGACAAACCCGAAAGAAGCAUCAUCAUAACGUAGCUCACUAGUGAACUUCCUGUGCUUGAAAGCAAAAACAGGCGGCGCGUGGCUCACGCGAGCAUCGGAGAUCCCUUGUAGGUUCAUAGCGAGAAGAGCUGAAACCGAUCUCCGGCCAAUACAGAGAGCUCUCGCGUCGUUACGCAGCAAGUUCAAACCUUUAAGCUCGGCGACGACUUGAGUAGUCAAGUCGAUGUUCUUCUUACACUUGUCCGACUCUAUAAAGUUCCAGACAGGCUUAAGGAAGGUGCUGGAGAGGAAGCCGUUGCCGGAGAAGAGGAACGGACCGAGGAACGCGAAGUUCACCGCGCAGUCAUCGACCUUACGCGGGCGGUGGUGGAGGUGAGUCUCUCCUUGGUAUGCUCCGUUGAGGUUUCGUAUGAUGGAUACGACGGAGAAAGCGAAAACGAUCACGAGAGCGCGUAGGAUCACGCGCCUACGGAAGGAGGUGGGCGUUAGUUUCAGCUCAACGCCCAUGGCGAGGAAGAAGAAGAGAAGAGGAAUCCAACAGUUAAAACAAGAAUCGGAUCUUUACUUACUCAGAAAGAGAGAUUCAAUUUAGGAGGAAGGAAGAAGGAUUUAGCGAGUGCAAAACCUGGAGGAGGUAUGGUUUCCACCCACGAGGAUAACUAUUGUGUUUUGUAAACAUAACCACACCCUUCUCGGUUCUCUUCUCUGCAUCUCAUCCAUUUUUUUUUCUGUUUCACCCAACCAUCAGAGAUCUAAUCUUACAUGGUACGUGUAUGAUCCACUUCGAUGAUGAUGUUUCUUCUCUUUAUUUCUAAGGCGAGAUUUGGGAAUUAGGGUUUUGAGAUUGGGAAUCUGAAGAGUGAGAUAAGGCAACGAGAGAUCUGUGAUUCUCUCGGAAGCAAAGAGAUGAAGUAAUAAAGUGACUACUGCGAAGAAGAGAGAGUGUGUGUGUGAUGACGUUAUCAUGCCACGUGGUUCGCGUGAAGCCCUUCGAUGUGUAACUGAAUGUUAUGGCAUUAUUAAUAUGCACAACUCCCGAUGGACUGAUAAUUCAGAUUAAGAAAGAGAUUACGUCAAAAUAAAUGUUUAUUGGCGAUAAUUCUGAAGAAAUGGUAUAAACUUUCUUUUUUUAUAUAUAUAUACUUCCAUUAGUCUCGAGUUUAUUCUUCUCUAAUUUAUUAGUUUAAAAAUCACGAAAGUAGCGGUUUCAAUCUAAGUAAACCAAUUCGAUUCGGAACCUAAUCGAUCAAACCGAUCCGGGUGGACCAAGCCUUACAGUUUUUCACAUGUCUGUCUUAAUAAUACUAAUUAGGGUGGCUUAUUUAAUAGGUGGUGUGGCUUAUAGUUCGGAGAGUGAAUCCAAUCCACCGACACUCGAGAUAUCGACGUUAUACGAUUCUGUGAAUUGGGAGCAAUAAUUAUCGGCGGAGAAUCGAAAAAGAAUAUUUCUUGCAAUUAUUGUAUUUUGUUACAGCUGUCUUGAAUCUUGAGUGGUACCUAGACAUCACUAGCUUAAGCUAAAGCUGAAUAGAGAGAGCAACAGCAACAAAAAAAAAGACAUUAUUGCAUUUGCAACUAAUCUCGGGUUAUCCUUUUAGAAUUUGUAAGUAAACUCAUUUUAACCACUCAUGUGUGGUGGGACAGUAAUAAGGUUUUCAAACACCUUUACGUACGUAUCUAUACAUAGUUCAUGACACUUUGAGAGUUGAGACUAGGAACUAAUUGUUAUUAGAACUGAACACGGAUCCGGGAGAGAGCAAUAAUACCCCUACUAUGAGUUUAGGAAGCCUUUGGAAAAACUGUGUAUAAUCAAAAAAUAAUACCCCUACUAUAGCAACUAAUUCUACUUUUACUUCCAGCAAAAACUGCCAAUUUAUAAAAGUGCGGCGAAAAACGCUCUGGCGACGGCGAUGGCGAUAUAUUUCUAGGGUUUUGAUGAUUGAUCGAGAUUGGGAUCCGGGAUCUCAGAGGAAGAUUGGGGAUCGAGGAGAUCUAUGGCUUGGGGGAAGGGAAAGCAAAUCGAAUUCGUCUAUUGGAGAUUCGGAUUUUGAUUCGUUAGCGAUAACAUUGAGGGGUGAUCCACAGGCUUUCCAUAGGUUGGGAAGAAGGAUCGCGGUUGUUAGGAAAUCGUUAUUAUUGGGAUCUUUCAUAUGGAUGCAGUAUCCAGAAGAUCAAUCAUACGAAUUACAAGGUAUGGGAUUUGGUAUAAUCGAAAGAUCCUCUUUCGCUUCUAUUUUGGAAAGUGGUAAUCUGUCUUCCCGAUUACAUCAUUUUUUAGGGGGAAAAAUAUGGAGGCACUUGGAUUUUAAAGGGAUUUUUCUUCGUGGUUUGGGGGUUUUCAAUUUAACGUAUGGAGGUUGGUGCGUUAAGGAUAUUAGGUUUUUGCAGGAGAAACAAAAAUUGUUUUCAAACAUUCUUAAGAUUAGCUUGAAUGUACUUAAAGGUGAUAUCUUUUAUUUUCUUCGUAUGAGUAUCUUGUUUGAAGGAAAGGGGAUGCGAGGAAUGAAUGUGGGAGUCGAUAAUUGUAUGCUGUCACGAACUCAAUGUAUCUUUCACAGGUUGGCAAGGUCUUGCAGAUGGGUAAGGGCUUAUGGGGUGGAGCGUAACCAAGAACGAGAAGGGUGGGAUGCUCGAUCUCACGGUAAUGGAUGGUUUCUGCAAAUUCAAAUCCCAAAUGAAUGUUGGGUUAUAGGGUUUGAGGUUUUAUUUGGUGCAUGGAGGCUUGCAUUAGGGAUUGCAAUAUUGGCACUUUGUCUCUUCCCUAGCAGGAACAAAGAUAUACGGUGUCUGGAUAGUAGGUUGAGCAAGUAUUGGGUCAAGCUAACAGUAAAGAAUUACGUCUUUUUGGUUUGUAUAUAUAUUGGUCUUUGGGAUUAUGAUAUUGUUGGAGGCACAUUUGGUCGGUCUUGUUACUAUAUGGUUUGGAUUUGUGAUUGGGCCUACUUAUAUAUGGAUCGAGAAUUCUUGUAUUUUAUGGACAUGCUAUGUGUAUUGGUUCUACGGCAACUGGUAAUUAGGAGCUUUUUGUUGUUAUUUCAGAUAGUAAUUUAUAUGGUAUUUGGGAAAAUAAUGAAUUACAAGAGGCGAUUGGAGUUUGGCAAUUUGUGUUUGUUUAGAUAUUUUCCUAAUAUUUUACUUGCUCACAGGAUAUACAAGUGGUUUCUUUGGAGGCUUCAAGGAAUUUUUUUAAGGGAGGGAGUGGAGACAGUCCUUUUAUCAUGGGGUUUAGAAAUUUUAGGGUCUCAUUAUACCCAAUUUAGCCAGCUCAGCAGAGCCUUUCUAUAUUUUUUUAAAUGAGAGUACUAAGUUGGAAUUGCAGAGGAAUGGGAAGUAAGUGGAGUAUAAGUUAUUUAACAGAGAUAUGGCAUAAACAUAAACCUAAUUUUUUAUUUUUAUCGGAAACAAAACAAGAAUUUGAGCUUGUCCAGAAAUUUCAAGCUCAUUUCGGAUUUGAUAAUCUGGUCACAGUGGAUCCAGUGGGACGAAGUGGUGGAUUGGCGCUUUAUUACAAUAAUGAGUUCCAGGUUAAUAUUCUAUAUUCAAGUAAUCGAAUGAUAGAUGUAGAAGCAGUGGCGUUGGGAAAAACGGUAUAUAUGACGUUUGUGUAUGGAGAUCCAGUUCAAGAUUUGCGAGAACGAGUGUGGAAACAUUUAACUAGAUAUGGAAUUUCCCGAUCCGAGCCAUGGUUUAUUAUUGGUGAUUUAAAUGAGAUUACAGGAAAUCAUGAAAAAGAAGGUGGAGCUUUGAGAAGUGCGAAUUCAUUUGUUCCUUUUAACAACAUGAUAAGGAAUUGUGGUUUACUGGAGUUUCCUGCCAAAGGAAAUAAAUUGUCAUGGCAAGGAAGAAGAGGGAAAGGAAAAGGGGCAGUAACGGUUAGAUGUCGUUUAGAUCGAGCAUUGGCAAAUGAGGAGUGGCACACGCUAUUUCCUUGUUCCUAUACAGAAUAUUUAGGGUUGGUGGCAUCGGAUCAUCGUCCAGUGGUGGCUUACAUAGAAACUAAAGUUAUCAGGAGAAAAGGACAAUUUAGGUUUGAUAAAAGGACAAUUUUGGUUCUCGGGUAACAUUUUCAUCUUGUAGAUAUUUAGUUAUUUCUCGUAUUUGUUUGAUUUUGGGUAUUUUUGUGUUCUGAUUUUUUGGUUUUUCAGAUUCUUUAGAUCUUUUUGUCCUAAAUACUCGAACUGAGUUAGACUCAUUACGUAACCAAAUUACAUCAUAAAUUUUAUAAAUACUUGAAUCAUUGACUCAAACUGACCUGGAACUAAAAAGAACUGAUAUGAACAAAAAAUUGAAAUACCUAGUUAUAUAUAAAUGCCCAAGACCCAAAGAACUUGUACCUCAAAGAAACCGAUUUAUAUUUGAUCUGAAGACCCAAAUGCCCAAAUCUAACCUUUCAUUAUAUUUUGUGCAUUUUAUAAAAAUUACAUUUGUUCAGUUGGUGAAACUUAAGAUUUAUUUGAGAAGUUUUUGGCUAAUUUAAUAGUAUAGAUUUGUAGGUUUUUUGUUGAGCAGUAAAAAAAAGAUUUGUUGGGUUUUUGAUAAUUUUAAACUUAUCUUAAAUACUAAAUUGUUUUUUUAUCAAUAUAAUAAAAUUUACAUAAUAUAUAAUUUUUAAACUUAUCUUAAUUAUGAAGUUAAUGAGACAUAUUUAGAGAAGAAUAUAAUAAAGUGUACAUAUAUUAUAUUUUCGUGAACCAAAUUUAUGUGAUCGUAUAUAUAUGAUAUAUCUUUUCGUUUUCAAUAUUAUUAAUUAAUGAAAAGGUCCGAACAACAUUUUUAAGUAAUUUAUUAAAACUUGUCCGUUUUAGUAGUAUUCAUUUCUGCUUAAGUGCUUGAGUUAAGCCCAUAUAUAUUUGAGUUGGGUUGUGUCACGAGAGGAUAAAUUCGUAACUUACAUCGGGGCGCAAAUAUAAGCCCAUUAGGUUUCAACCUCAGCUUCUUCAAAAACCCUAAAAUCUCAUUUUCACUUCACUGCGCCUCCCACACUCAACAAAACAAGAGCCGAAACCACAAACUCUAACAACCAUGCCGCCCAAGUUGGACCCGAGCCAGAUCGUCGACGUCUACGUCCGCGUGACCGGAGGAGAAGUCGGAGCCGCCAGUUCCCUCGCCCCCAAGAUCGGUCCCCUCGGUCUCGCCCCAAAGAAGAUCGGAGAAGACAUCGCCAAGGAGACAGCCAAAGAGUGAAAGGACUCCGCGUCACCGUCAAGCUCACCGUUCAGAACCGUCAGGCGAAAGUCACGGUGGUUCCGUCCGCCGCUGCUCUCGUCAUCAAGGCCUUGAAGAGCCGGAGAGAGACAGGAAGAAGGUGAGAGAACAUCAAGCACAAUGGCAACAUUUCGUUUGAUGACGUGAUCGAGAUCGCUAGGAUCAUGAGGCCUAGGUCGAUUGCGAAGGAGCUGAGCGGGACUGUGAGGGAGAUUCUGGGGACGUGUGUCUCUGUUGGGUGCACUGUUGAUGGGAAGGACCCCAAGGAUCUUCAGCAGGAGAUUCAAGAGGGUGAGAUUGAGAUCCCUGAGAACUAAUGAAUCAAAAGAAAAGAAAUUAUCUUUUUAGUUUUGGGUUGUUGUUUCGUUUUGUUAUCUCUGUUUAAGAAUAUUUUGUGGUUUUGAUUAUGAGAAUUUGAGAUUGCG